ensembl:lncRNA
CUACGCCUUUCGAACAAGAAAGUGAAUGAAAAAAUCUUCAAGUUCACUGACUAUUAUAUUAUAGACUUAGGCAAUGGAUACUUGUGGCAACACUGGCUAACUAAAUGCUGACAAACUGAUUAGGUAACAGUCAACUCACGCCAUGGCUCAAGAGUUUCGGGAAGGAGACUUGUAUCAUAUCGAGGAUCAUUCUGAAGUCACAUGCAAUAGUGGUUCAAUCAAAACAACUUCUCUGUGGUUUGGGAAUCUUGAGCUACUCACUGCCCUGUGGUCUGGUCUCACCACGGACUCCCUGACUGACUCACCGCUUCACAGACAUUAGGAGAUGAUUGUUAGAAGGGCCUUUAAAAGUUGCCCGUUCCUGCCUUAUUGUGAGACCCCUCUACUCUGAUAUGGCUACAACUACACAAGGCCUCUGAUGGGCAAAACUUCAGAGAAUAUCCCGGCGACCUGUGCUCCCAGUACAGUAAAGUGGAGAAGGAAGUAACAUCACCAGAAAGCAGCAAGCUGCCAGACCACCAAAGGACCCUGGAGCCACUGCAUGCUGUGACAAGGGCCUGGAUGGUGAUACAUCUGUUUCAAGCUGCCUGCCUGAAUACUGAGGCCUUCAGCGAUACCUUCCCUUUGAUUACAGAAAGAAUAUCUUAACCUCUGUCUCAUAGCCAUUUAACAUGUAAUGUAUGUAACCACUCAAAUUCAGAGAAACAUCUACAAACACAAGAACUGACUUAUAUUCACUUGUCCCUGGCUGCGUUUGGACAGGCAGCCCAAUUUGGAUAUUGUGACCAAUCACAGCAGAUCUUUUCACAUCAGCUAUUUUUCAGAGCUGAUGUCAUUGGUCAAAAGACCAUUUUGUGGGAAAAACUCAGACUUGGGCUGCCUAUUUUAACACAGCCUAUUUGUCCUAUUCUUCAGUCUUCUCUGGGAUAAAUAUUUUACACAAGCACACAUUUGUGAUGUCCUUCAUACAUUAAUAAACAUUUAUUCACCCUGAA